UGGGGAAUAUUGGACAAUGGGCGCAAGCCUGAUCCAGCAAUGCCGCGUGUGUGAAGAAGGCCUUCGGGUUGUAAAGCACUUUUAUCAGGAGCGAAACGCUGUCGGCUAAUACCGGCGGAACUGACGGUACCUGAGGAAUAAGCACCGGCCUAACUUCGUGCCAGCAGCCGCGGUAAUACGAAGGGUGCAAGCGUUAAUCGGAAUUACUGGGCGUAAAGCGUGCGUAGGCGGUUCUUAAGUCUGCUGUGAAAAUUCCCCCGGGGCUCAACCUGGGAAUGGCAGUGGGAUACUGGGAGGCUAGAGUGUGUCAGAGGGUGGUGGAAUUCCCGGUGUAGCGGUGAAAUGCGUAGAGAUCGGGAGGAACAUCAGUGGCGAAGGCGGCCA
rnacentral:rRNA from 1 species